rnacentral:rRNA from 1 species
GGGGGAUAACUACUGGAAACGGUAGCUAAUACCGCAUAACGUCGCAAGACCAAAGAGGGGGACCUUCGGGCCUCUUGCCAUCGGAUGUGCCCAGAUGGGAUUAGCUUGUUGGUGGGGUAACGGCUCACCAAGGCGACGAUCCCUAGCUGGUCUGAGAGGAUGACCAGCCACACUGGAACUGAGACACGGUCCAGACUCCUACGGGAGGCAGCAGUGGGGAAUAUUGCACAAUGGGCGCAAGCCUGAUGCAGCCAUGCCGCGUGUAUGAAGAAGGCCUUCGGGUUGUAAAGUACUUUCAGCGGGGAGGAAGGGAGUAAAGUUAAUACCUUUGCUCAUUGACGUUACCCGCAGAAGAAGCACCGGCUAACUCCGUGCCAGCAGCCGCGGUAAUACGGAGGGUGCAAGCGUUAAUCGGAAUUACUGGGCGUAAAGCGCACGCAGGCGGUUUGUUAAGUCAGAUGUGAAAUCCCCGGGCUCAACCUGGGAACUGCAUCUGAUACUGGCAAGCUUGAGUCUCGUAGAGGGGGGUAGAAUUCCAGGUGUAGCGGUGAAAUGCGUAGAGAUCUGGAGGAAUACCGGUGGCGAAGGCGGCCCCCUGGACGAAGACUGACGCUCAGGUGCGAAAGCGUGGGGAGCAAACAGGAUUAGAUACCCUGGUAGUCCACGCCGUAAACGAUGUCGACUUGGAGGUUGUGCCCUUGAGGCGUGGCUUCCGGAGCUAACGCGUUAAGUCGACCGCCUGGGGAGUACGGCCGCAAGGUUAAAACUCAAAUGAAUUGACGGGGGCCCGCACAAGCGGUGGAGCAUGUGGUUUAAUUCGAUGCAACGCGAAGAACCUUACCUGGUCUUGACAUCCACGGAAGUUUUCAGAGAUGAGAAUGUGCCUUCGGGAACCGUGAGACAGGUGCUGCAUGGCUGUCGUCAGCUCGUGUUGUGAAAUGUUGGGUUAAGUCCCGCAACGAGCGCAACCCUUAUCCUUUGUUGCCAGCGGUCCGGCCGGGAACUCAAAGGAGACUGCCAGUGAUAAACUGGAGGAAGGUGGGGAUGACGUCAAGUCAUCAUGGCCCUUACGACCAGGGCUACACACGUGCUACAAUGGCGCAUACAAAGAGAAGCGACCUCGCGAGAGCAAGCGGACCUCAUAAAGUGCGUCGUAGUCCGGAUUGGAGUCUGCAACUCGACUCCAUGAAGUCGGAAUCGCUAGUAAUCGUGGAUCAGAAUGCCACGGUGAAUACGUUCCCGGGCCUUGUACACACCGCCCGUCACACCAUGGGAGUGGGUUGCAAAAGAAGUAGGUAGCUUAACCUUCGGGAGGGCGCUUACCACUUUGUGAUUCAUGACUGGGGUGAAGUCGUAACAAGGUAACCGUAGGGGAACCUGCGGUUGGAUCACCUCCUUACCUUAAAGAAGC